UACGUAGGUGGCAAGCGUUAUCCGGAUUUAUUGGGCGUAAAGCGAGUGCAGGCGGUUCAAUAAGUCUGAUGUGAAAGCCUUCGGCUCAACCGGAGAAUUGCAUCAGAAACUGUUGAACUUGAGUGCAGAAGAGGAGAGUGGAACUCCAUGUGUAGCGGUGGAAUGCAUAGAUAUAACUUAGAACACCGAUAGCGAAGGCAGCUUACCAGACUGAGUCUGACGCUGAUGCACGAGAGCAUGGGUAGCGAACAGG
rnacentral:rRNA from 1 species